rnacentral:rRNA from 1 species
CAGUCGCCGCGGUAAUACGAAGGGUGCAAGCGUUACUCGGAAUUACUGGGCGUAAAGCGUGUGUAGGUGGUUGUUUAAGUCUGUCGUGAAAGCCCUGGGCUCAACCUGGGAAUUGCGAUGGAUACUGGGCGACUAGAGUGCGGUAGAGGAUAGUGGAAUUUCCGGUGUAGCAGUGAAAUGCGUAGAGAUCGGAAGGAACAUCUGUGGCGAAGGCGACUAUCUGGGCCAGCACUGACACUGAGACACGAAAGCGUGGGGAGCAAACAGGAUUAGAUACCCCCGUAGUCCCUGUCUCUUAUAC